rnacentral:misc_RNA from 1 species
UUGGGAAUCUAUAAUAUGUUACUAUUAUCUUCCCCCUAGUUGUAUUAACCAAGGAAUUGGAAGAAUUUGGAUUAAGGACAAUUUGACAAAUUUCUAUUCUGGAAAAUCUGACCAAGCUUGAUCAGACAGGUUAACAGUUGUAACUUUGGCUUCAGCUCAUUAAGCGACUCCUGCCAUCUUUUUAAUCCUUGUGGGGCAUGGUUUGGAUUUCCUAGGCUUCCACCUUGCACGCUGCAGUUCAUGUAGAAAUGAAAAGGAACAAACAGUAUGCAUGGAAAUAAGAAGGAUGAACUAUAUACAGUUGUACAAGUUACUGUUUCCAGCAAUAACACCCUAUAAGAAUCCUUGCUCAACAUGAAGUCAUUACAGCUUCUAAUAUGAAUGUGUUUUCAUUUUCACAAUAAGAAAUACCAUUGCAUCUUCCCACAUCACCAAAAGAUAACUAAAACAUGCAGACUCAGAUUGUAAAUCAAGGUCAUUUUGUCGAUCUUGAGGUAUGUCAUUCCACCCUAACUUUACCAGAGCAGAUUAUCCUCAGUUAGACAAGUACCGCUAACUACCAGAAAUUCCAUUUGUAUCUAAGCAUGUAUAUCAAACACGCCACCCUGGAACGUUAUAUUUGAUAUAGACAGCCAUAAGAUAGCUUCAGAUCCUUUGUAGGGCAAUGAUAAGUUAUCAAAAACUACCUACAUCAAAGUUUCAAUGGCAGCAUGAAUAGAACUUCCACGAGUAGAACCUUCACGCUGAAACAGUGAGUGAGGCCCAGUCCAUAUAGAUUUAUGGUUGUCAGGAAACAGAGUUCUGCACAGACUCAGAAGCAUUGGAUUUUCAGAAUCAAACUUCUCAAACAUUAUAGCCUUGUGUUUUUCUUGUGAUUCCUUAUUCUUAUUUUGCUCAACCGUUGGAGUUACUUCCUCAUGCUGCCCUAUAGCAUGUCCCUUCGCAGGAUGUGUUUGGCCCACCGCACCUGCAUUCUCUGCUAGUCCAGGUUGAGAUUGUUGAUUGGGCUCCUCUCCUGAUCUAUCAGCAAACUCUGAUUGCUCUGACAUUUCAACCUUCCCUUUCUUUUGAAUCUCUAUCUCAUUCUCCUCCUCUUCCUCUUCAUCAUCGUCUUCCUCUGCCUCCUCAUGCUUCUCCUUAACAGGGCUCUACAGAUGCUCACUAUCCCCCAUUUUCACCCGUCCCUUUUCUUCCACCUCAGCAUCUGCAUCUGGAUCUAUUGAUUUGCCCAUAUUUGAUGAUGAAUCUUCAUCUCCUGGACUUUCUAUAAGUGAACAUCCCUUCAAAAGUGUGUGUGUGUGUGUGUGUGAGAUUCAUGCAAAUUUGCAGCACUCUCUUGGUAGACAUUACUGAAAUCCUGCAGUGUUAUGCCUUCCUGGUUUUAUAUCAAGUGUCUGAUGAACUUAUUAUUUACAUUUUUAUGUGUUCUAUUAUUAACACGUUCUUAAUUACCAGGAUCAAGAUCCCAGACCCUUAGUUUUCCUUCUGCUGAGGUGAUUUUUGGUUUCAAUUGCACUGUCAGAAAAAUAAUGUUAAUAAAUAAACAAACUCUAAACAUUUUUCUGCUGUGUUUCAUUUUUUAGAGGCGAUUGGCUGUUAGAGCUACUGCAGUAUCACCUAGUUUUGGGUCCCCAUCCUCACUUUCUGAGUCCAGCCACUGGGCAUCAACUAGCAAACGGCCCUUUGCUUUCUACAAUAGCAACUUUCCAAGCCGACGCCCUUACAUGUCAAAAGCUGUUUACCCUUUAGUAUUCCGCAACCCUGUGUCAGAUUGUGAAACCUUUAAUGAUGCUGAUAUCAGCAAUAUUGGUAGGUUGACACCAGGUGAGAAUCUGACAUCACCAUCUUGCUGGCCUGAUAACAGUCCAGGUGUUGAGUAUAAGUUCCACAAAACCAUCACUGAACUUCAAAAGUUGGAGACAUCACCAGACCACAGUGCAAGCUCCAGAAGAGAGGGAUUUCGGUGGAGCAGUGCCAGUAGUUAUGAUUUAGGGCUUGAUGGUGACAGGUUUGACAUGGCAGAGCAUAUGGAUAUGGAGAGUCUGAGGUCACCUAACAGUGCUGUGCCAGACCAGAAGUGUGGAGUUUGUGGAAAGCUUUUGUGGCAGAAGUCUCCGUGCAGUUCACAUCGAAUCAUGAGAGGUGGCGACAUGCCUAUUGCUGGGGUGCUACCCUGCAGUCAUGUGUUCCAUGCUGAAUGCUUAGAACAAGUGACUCCAAAGACCCAGAUACAUGACCCUCCUUGCCCCUUGUGCUUGAAAACCAUAGGAGCAGUCGAAGAAUCCCCGUCAGUCUCAGAGCCCUUGCAGGUGGCCCUAAGAUCCAUACGGAGAAACAGCGGGAUGGUGAUAUCUGAAGCCCAUGGGAGUCACAUUAAUAGUGAAAACUGUACUCCCCUCAAGGGCAGGUUGAGGAAAAACUGGCUUCGAACAGUACCACGGCAGAAUGAUAAUGGUUCUUCAUUAACAACCCGCCUUAAAAGGCGUUUCACAUUGAGGGGGAAGGUUGGUAAAGAUAUUUUCAGUAAUAAGUUAUUUCACAAAAUGGGUUCAUCUUCUAGUGGGGAACCAAUUUGACGCCAAAUGUUUAUGCAGUAGUCUCAUGUAUGUAUCCUUGUGCAAGAAGAUUUGAAUAUUGAAUCCUUGGUGAACCCUUUCUCUUCAAGAUAUUUUCUCAGCUUAUUUGGGUUCACUUCUCUGAGACAUCAUUAAGAACCCUUAUGUAUGCAUUUAUUCUAUUAUUAUUAUUAUUAUUAU